AGUGAACGCUGGCGGUAGGCCUAACACAUGCCAGUCGAACGGCAGCACAGUAAGAGCUUGCUCUUACGGGUGGCGAGUGGCGGACGGGUGAUGAAUACAUCGGAAUCUACUUUUUCGUGGGGGAUAACGUAGGGAAACUUACGCUAAUACCGCAUACGACCUACGGGUGAAAGCAUGGGAUCUUCGGACCUUGCGCGAUUGAAUGAGCCGAUGUCGGAUUAGCUAGUUGGCGGGGUAAAGGCCCACCAAGGCGACGAUCCGUAGCUGGUCUGAGAGGAUGAUCAGCCACACUGGAACUGAGACACGGUCCAGACUCCUACGGGAGGCAGCAGUGGGGAAUAUUGGACAAUGGGCGCAAGCCUGAUCCAGCCAUACCGCGUGGGUGAAGAAGGCCUUCGGGUUGUAAAGCCCUUUUGUUGGGAAAGAAAAGCAGCAGGUUAAUACCCCGCUGUUCUGACGGUACCCAAAGAAUAAGCACCGGCUAACUUCGUG
rnacentral:rRNA from 1 species